rfam:Gossypium raimondii Chr03_contig_79, whole genome shotgun sequence.
UUUUAAAAAUUUCAUCCCUUUGUAUUGUUAAAAACCAACAUGGCUAAAAGAAUAACUAGAUAGUGACAUGUACGCGUACGUCCUGCUGACGUACAAGAACUAGUUUUUAAAGGUAAAAAUAGAUGAAUUCUUUUAUAA